AUAGCGUAUAUUAAAGUUGUUGCAGUUAAAAAGCUCGUAGUUGAACCUUGGGCCUGGCUGGCCGGUCCGCCUCACCGCGUGCACUGGUCCGGCCGGGCCUUUCCUUCUGGGGAGCCGCAUGCCCUUCACUGGGUGUGUCGGGGAACCAGGACUUUUACUUUGAAAAAAUUAGAGUGUUCAAAGCAGGCAUUUGCUCGGAUACAUUAGCAUGGAAUAAUAGAAUAGGACGUGUGGUUCUAUUUUGUUGGUUUCUAGGACCACCGUAAUGAUUAAUAGGGAUAGUCGGGGGCAUCAGUAUUCAAUUGUCAGAGGUGAAAUUCUUGGAUUAAUUGAAGACUAACUACUG
rnacentral:rRNA from 1 species